GAUGAACGCUGGCGGCGUGCCUAAUACAUGCAAGUCGAGCGAACAGACGAGGAGCUUGCUCCUCUGACGUUAGCGGCGGACGGGUGAGUAACACGUGGAUAACCUACCUAUAAGACUGGGAUAACUUCGGGAAAUCGGAGCUAAUACCGGAUAAUAUAUCGAACCGCAUGGUUCACUAGUGAAAGACGGUUUUGCUGUCACUUAUAGAUGGAUCCGCGCCGCAUUAGUUAGUUGGUAAGGUAACGGCUUACCAAGGCAACGAGGCGUAGCCGACCUGAGAGGGUGAUCGGCCACACUGGAACUGAGACACGGUCCAGACUCCUACGGGAGGCAGCAGUAGGGAAUCUUCCGCAAUGGGCGAAAGCCUGACGGAGCAACGCCGCGGGAGUGAUGAAGGUCUUCGGAUCGUAAAACUCUGUUAUUAGGGAAGAACAAAUGUGUAAGUAACUAUGCACGUCUUGACGGUACCUAAUCAGAAAGCCACGGCUAACUACGUG
rnacentral:rRNA from 1 species